UGGUGUUCAGGGCCUCAUUCCUCGUCUUUCCUAACCCCACUCUGUUCCUCUCUCCCUUGAAAGCCUGCAUGUGGUUCCUGACCUAGCUGUCUAUGAUCUGUACCCGGAUUAAAGGUAACAGAAUCCAGAGGUGACUUGCCCGUUUUUCCUGAUCUUUCUAAUCUGAAGCCAGGAAGAGAGAUCUGAUCAGGGUAACUCAAAUAGGGGAGUGACACAGUCCACACUCAGGACUAGCCCACCUGCGGCCACAGAGCAAGGACCUGCUGCGGCCUACAACCACUGACUCCUGCUCCCCUGAGGGGAGAAAAAGAUGACAGUUCCUGCCAAGUCCCAAUC
rnacentral:lncRNA from 1 species